GCUUAAUGGUUAGCACGUUCACCUCACACCUCCAGGGUCGGGGGUUCGAUUCCCACCGUGGCCCUGUGUGUGCGGAGUCUGCAUGUUCUCCCCGUGCUGCGGGGGUUUCCUCCGGGUACUCCGGUUUCCUCCCCCAGUCCAAAGACAUGCAUGGUAGGCUGAUUGGCAUGUCCAAAGUGGUGCCAGUCCAUCGCAGGGCACAAUCACAUACACACUCACACACCCAUUCAUACACUACGGACACUUUGGACAUGCCAAUCAGCCUACCAUGCAUGUCUUUGGACUGGGGGAGGAAACUGGAGUACCUGGAGGAAACCCCCGCAGCACGGGGAGAACAUGCAAACUCCUCACACACAGGGCCACGGUGGGAAUCGAGGCGAACGUGCUAACCACUAAGCCACCGUGCGCCCAAUAUCAUAUAAUUACUUUUAUUAUAACAAUAUUUCCAUUGUUUGGUUUUCCAUCGACCUGGUCCUCUAUACCUCCUUUGUCAGUAUGUCUUCCAAAAUGGUGAGUCAGUUCCCUGCAACCAUUAAUAAAUGGGUUAAUAAAUUAAAUAUUCCAUGUAGGCCUGUAUGUAGUAGAUGUACCAUAUCUCUGCCGUUACAGCCAGCAUCAACUAUUUGUCUUCAUUAGCCAGAGACACUCAUAUAAUCAUUUUUAUUACAAGUAAACAACCAAGGAUGCAUAGUAGGCAAGUGAUAUAAAGGCAGCUUAUAAAGUCAUGGCCUACUGUGAAUCAUGAAGUAGAAACUGCUAGUGUAGACAUUAGCCAUAUCCGGAUGGGAUUAAAUUU
ensembl:lncRNA